UGGUCAACAGAUUCGAGACUUAGAACGU
rnacentral:piRNA from 1 species